CCUACGGGAGGCAGCAGUGGGGAAUAUUGCACAAUGGGGGAAACCCUGAUGCAGCGACGCCGCGUGAGUGAAGAAGUAUUUCGGUAUGUAAAGCUCUAUCAGCAGGGAAGAAAUAAAGUCCUUCGGACUUUGGACGGUACCUGACUAAGAAGCCCCGGCUAACUACGUGCCAGCAGCCGCGGUAAUACGUAGGGGGCAAGCGUUAUCCGGAUUUACUGGGUGUAAAGGGAGCGUAGACGGCAGCGCAAGUCUGGAGUGAAAUCCCAUGGCUUAACCAUGGAACUGCUUUGGAAACUGGGCAGCUGGAGUGCAGGAGAGGUAAGCGGAAUUCCUAGUGUAGCGGUGAAAUGCGUAGAUAUUAGGAGGAACACCAGUGGCGAAGGCGACUAUCUGGCACAUAACUGACGCUGAGGAGCGAAAGCGUGGGUAGCAAACAGGAUUAGAUACCCCAGUAGUC
rnacentral:rRNA from 1 species